rnacentral:rRNA from 1 species
GACAGAGGGUGCAAACGUUGUUCGGAAUUACUGGGCGUAAAGCGCGUGUAGGCGGGUCUUUUAAGUCAGGGGUGAAAUGCCAAGGCUCAACCUUGGAACUGCCUUUGAUACUGGAGAUCUUGAGUCCGGGAGAGGUGAGUGGAACUGCGAGUGUAGAGGUGAAAUUCGUAGAUAUUCGCAAGAACACCAGUGGCGAAGGCGGCUCACUGGCCCGGUACUGACGCUGAGGUGCGAAAGCGUGGGGAGCAAACAGG